ensembl:lincRNA
CAGCCUGGGGCCCAGCAGGUGGGACCUGGGCUUGAAUAAUGUCACCUGCCUUUGCUCUGUUUUCCUACUGUCCUGAUUCAAGAAGCAAAGCUGGGCUCGGGCUUGUGAGAGUUCGGGGUGGGUGUGCUCUUUUCCAGGGAGGGUAGAGGGAACCGCUGGACCUGACAGAUGAGGAAACUGAGUCACAGAGAGGUUAAAGAAGAGUCCCAAGGUCACACAAGCUGGGACGUGCAUCCAGCCACUUGGCUCUCAGAGUCUGCCUCGUUGUACCACGACCCUCACCUGCAUGGAAGUGGAAGGCUGAGAACCACAGAAAGACUGUCUGAAAACCGGGAAAUACAAGAAUCUCAAAAACACCCCUUGGAGAUCAAGAAAGUUGUUUUCUUUUAUACACGUUUCCACAAAUAGCAUUUGGUAAUAAAAUCCUCUAAUGGUUUGUGAUAUUAAUU